rnacentral:rRNA from 1 species
GACGAACCGUGCAAACGUUAUUCGGAAUCACUGGGCUUAAAGCGCGUGUAGGCGGGACGGCACGUCGGUCGUGAAAUCCCCCGGCUCAACCGGGGAAGGGGCGCCGAUACGACCGUCCUGGAGGGGCGUAGGGGGACCUGGAACUUCCGGUGGAGCGGUGAAAUGCGUUGAGAUCGGAAGGAACGCCCGUGGCGAAAGCGAGGUCCUGGACGCCUACUGACGCUGAGACGGCGAAAGCCAGGGGAGCCGAACGGGGAUUAAGAAACCCGUGG